CUUUCAUCUCUUUUAAUAGUUUGACUGUGACAAAAUUCAGCUCUGGAUCCAUCAUAAAUACUAUGAAUUUAGCAUUCCUCUCCUCCUCGGUCCCUAAUAACACAGCGAUUGGCAACGUUUUGAUAAAUGCAGCUCGAAACAUCACAGCUUUCAACAUCGACCCCACCUCAGUGACAGUCAAUGGCACAGCUAACUCAGGUGUGGGCAGCAAGGCAAGUCUCUUCACAGCGUCCUGUCUGGUGGUUCUGUCAAUGCUCCUAUCAAGACAACAGUGAUCUCAGAGGCAGUCUCCUGAAAAAGCUCUCUCACUCACCGGAAAGUAGCAGAAUGAAAGAGUGUUGGUGGUCAAAAGUGUACGUGGGGGAAGAAUUUCCCACCCAUUCCCACCCUAAUUCCAUGAAAGAAUACAAUAAAGAACACAGAUGAAUGUGUUAUAAGCUGGAAUUAGAUGCAUAUGAGAGUUGAACACAAUUAGAUACUAUUUUAUAAUUACAACCUAAUAGUAUAUGUUGAAUAUACUACAUCAGAAGUAAAUAUUA
ensembl:lncRNA